AUUGAACGCUGGCGGCAUGCUUUACACAUGCAAGUCGAGCGGCAGCGCGGGGCAACCUGGCGGCGAGCGGCGAACGGGUGAGUAAUGUAUCGGAACGUAUCCUUAAGUGGGGGACAACUAGUCGAAAGACUAGCUAAUACCGCAUACGAUCGAGAGAUGAAAGUGGGGGACCGCAAGGCCUCACGCUUUUGGAGCGGCCGAUAUCCGAUUAGCUUGUUGGUGAGGUAAAGGCUUACCAAGGCUAUGAUCGGUAGCUGGUCUGAGAGGAUGAUCAGCCACACUGGGACUGAGACACGGCCCAGACUCCUACGGGAGGCAGCAGUGGGGAAUUUUGGACAAUGGGGGCAACCCUGAUCCAGCCAUGCCGCGUGAGUGAAGAAGGCCCUCGGGUUGUAAAGCUCUUUUGUCCGGAAAGAAAGCAAUCGGUUAAUACCCGGUUGUUCUGACGGUACCGGAAGAAUAAGCACCGGCUAACUUCGUGCCAGCAGCCGCGGUAAGG
rnacentral:rRNA from 1 species